UACGUAGGGUGCAAGCGUUGUCCGGAAUUAUUGGGCGUAAAGAGCUCGUAGGCGGUUUGUCGCGUCUGCUGUGAAAACUCGGGGCUUAACCCCGGGCCUGCAGUGGGUACGGGCAGACUAGAGUGCGGUAGGGGAGACUGGAAUUCCUGGUGUAGCGGUGAAAUGCGCAGAUAUCAGGAAGAACACCCGUGGCUAAGGCGGCUCUCUAGUACGGUACUGGCGCUGAGACGCGAAAGCGUGGGGAGCGAACAGG
rnacentral:rRNA from 1 species